GUGCCAGCAGCCGCGGUAAUACGAAGGGACCUAGCGUAGUUCGGAAUUACUGGGCUUAAAGAGCACGUAGGUGGUUAGAAAAGUUGGUGGUGAAAUCCCAGGGCUUAACCCUGGAACUGCUACCAAAACUUUUUGACUAGAGUGUGAUAGAGGUAAGCGGAAUUUCUAGUGUAGAGGUGAAAUUCGUAGAUAUUAGAAAGAACACCAAUUGCGAAGGCAGCUUUCUGGAUCAUUACUGACACUGAGGCGCGAAAGCAUGGGUAGCGAAGAGGAUUAGAUACCCUCGUAGUCCAUGCCGUAAACGAUGUGUGCUAGACGUUGGGAAUUUAUUUUUCAGUGUCGCAGCAAAAGCGUUAAGCACACCGCCUGGGGAGUACGACCGCAAGGUUAAAACUCAAAUGAAUUGACGGGGACCCGCACAAGUAGUGGAGCAUGUGGUUUAAUUCGAAGAUACGCGCAGAACCUUACCAACACUUGACAUGUUCGUCGCGACUCUAAGAGAUUAGAGUUUUCGGUUCCG
rnacentral:rRNA from 1 species